rnacentral:precursor_RNA from 7 species
AUCAUCCGGCUCAUUGAGCAGGUGGGGCUCAGGAGGUCCUGGGGCCGCCCUGAAGGCAGAACAUGAGAAUUCUGGGCCCUCCAGACCUCAUGCUUCCUGCCUGUGUGGCCUGCCUGGGAGGGA